AACGGACGCUGGCGGCAUGCCUAACACAUGCAAGUCGAACGAGACCUUCGGGUCUAGUGGCGCACGGGUGCGUAACGCGUGGGAACCUGCCCUUAGGUUCGGAAUAACUCCCCGAAAGGGGUGCUAAUACCGGAUAAUGUCUUCGGACCAAAGAUUUAUCGCCUUUGGAUGGGCGCGCGUUGGAUUAGCUAGUUGGGAGGGUAAAAGCCUACCAAGGGGACGAUCCAUAGCUGGUCUGAGAGGAUGGUCAGCCACACUGGGACUGAGACACGGCCCAGACUCCUCCGGGAGGGAGGAGUGGGGGAUAGUGGAAAGUGGGGUGAAGGCUGAACCACGAAUGACCGGUGAGGUAUGAAAGUCUUUAGGUUGGUAAGCUUUUUUACCCGGGCAGAUAAUGACAGUACCGGGAGAAAAAGCCCCGGGUAACUCCGUG
rnacentral:rRNA from 1 species